CUUAAUUGGGCGUUAAGUUGCAGGGUAUAGACCCGAAACCCGGUGAUCUAGCCAUGGGCAGGUUGAAGGUUGGGUAACACUAACUGGAGGACCGAACCGACUAAUGUUGAAAAAUUAGCGGAUGACCUGUGGCUGGGGGUGAAAGGCCAAUCAAACCGGGAGAUAGCUGGUUCUCCCCGAAAGCUAUUUAGGUAGCGCCUCGUGAAUUCAUCUCCGGGGGUAGAGCACUGUUUCGGCUAGGGGGCCAUCCCGGCUUACCAACCCGAUGCAAACUGCGAAUACCGGAGAAUGUUAUCACGGGAGACACACGGCGGGUGCUAACGUCCGUCGUGAAGAGGGAAACAACCCAGACCGCCAGCUAAGGUCCCAAAGUCAUGGUUAAGUGGGAAACGAUGUGGGAAGGCCCAGACAGCCAGGAUGUUGGCUUAGAAGCAGCCAUCAUUUAAAGAAAGCGUAAUAGCUCACUGGUCGAGUCGGCCUGCGCGGAAGAUGUAACGGGGCUAAACCAUGCACCGAAGCUGCGGCAGCGACGUUUAUGCGUUGUUGGGUAGGGGAGCGUUCUGUAAGCCUGCGAAGGUGGCCUGUGAGGGUUGCUGGAGGUAUCAGAAGUGCGAAUGCUGACAUAAGUAACGAUAAAGCGGGUGAAAAGCCCGCUCGCCGGAAGACCAAGGGUUCCUGUCCAACGUUAAUCGGGGCAGGGUGAGUCGACCCCUAAGGCGAGGCCGAAAGGCGUAGUCGAUGGGAAACGGGUUAAUAUUCCCGUACUUGGUGUUACUGCGAAGGGGGGACGGAGAAGGCUAUGUUGGCCGGGCGACGGUUGUCCCGGUUUAAGCGUGUAGGUGUGUGUUCCAGGUAAAUCCGGUUCACUUUAACACUGAGGCGUGAUGACGAGGCACUACGGUGCUGAAGCAACAAAUGCCCUGCUUCCAGGAAAAGCCUCUAAGCAUCAGGUAACACGAAAUCGUACCCCAAACCGACACAGGUGGUCAGGUAGAGAAUACCAAGGCGCUUGAGAGAACUCGGGUGAAGGAACUAGGCAAAAUGGUGCCGUAACUUCGGGAGAAGGCACGCUGACACGUAGGUGAAGUGAUUUACUCAUGGAGCUGAAGUCAGUCGAAGAUACCAGCUGGCUGCAACUGUUUAUUAAAAACACAGCACUGUGCAAACACGAAAGUGGACGUAUACGGUGUGACGCCUGCCCGGUGCCGGAAGGUUAAUUGAUGGGGUCAGCGCAAGCGAAGCUCCUGAUCGAAGCCCCGGUAAACGGCGGCCGUAACUAUAACGGUCCUAAGGUAGCGAAAUUCCUUGUCGGGUAAGUUCCGACCUGCACGAAUGGCGUAAUGAUGGCCAGGCUGUCUCCACCCGAGACUCAGUGAAAUUGAACUCGCUGUGAAGAUGCAGUGUACCCGCGGCAAGACGGAAAGACCCCGUGAACCUU
rnacentral:rRNA from 1 species